AAUGAAUAAAAUAAUAUAAAUGAUAUGAAUAUUAAUAAGAAAUAUACCUAUAUUAUUACAAGAAUAAAUAAUUAGGAAUGGGCAGACAGAUUAUGAUGAUAAGUAUUAGUAAAUUAAACUAUUUUUAAGUUGAAAUUGAAGUGGUUGGAAUAACUUUUUCUAUUUGGUAUUUUAUCUAGUUAUCAUCAUCAGCUGUCAUCACAUCUUCAUCGUCGUCGGUUUCAUUGAGGGUAUCUUUAACUGGCGAUUUAUUCGGAAGGUUCAAAUAUUCACCAUGAAAUCUUUUUGGUAUUAUACCGGUUUCGCACAAUUUUUUGAGGUCAUUGUAUUUUGGAAUGGAAAUUGGGAGCCUCUCUUUAUAUAGAGAUGGUAAAUUGUCUGUGUUCCUUUGACUUAUGCUAUUACUAGUACUUUUAGCUGCAGAUUCAUUUUUGUUGUCUAUAUUUUUUGUAAUUUUACCUCUAACAGCACUUCUUUUCCCAAUCCCUUUACCCUUUCCUCUUGCGUUAAAAUUCUUUGGAGGUAAUUCUUUGGAGAGUUCUAUGUCGUACGUAUCACCAGUCUCUAACAUUGUAUAUUUAACUUCAAUUUUCGUCAGAGCAUUUUUUUUUAAAUGUGCACACUCUUAUGUUUUUCAUACGCAGAUUUUUAAGAGUAGCUUGAGUGAAUACAGAAUCCGCCAGAUUCUGGAAGUUAAUGAAAUCUGUAUGCUCUAAGACACUCACAUUAUAUUGUUGAGGCCGUUUUCUAGCACUCUUUAUGAAACUUGGCCAUUGUGAAGGUGCCCAAACAAUUAGUUUUCUUACUUCCCUCUCAAUAACAGCAUGCAUGCUGUCAACUGGCAUAUAUGUGUGUCCCGCUAGAAGGUAAUUAAUUUGUAUAACUUUUAGAUUUUUAGAUUGUUCCAGGAAAUGUUUGAACAUUGAAAAUAUAACUUUAUUCUUAUUUUGCCCCGUGCAGUUGUCACAGUAUAAUAAUAAUGUGUUCACUGCUCUGUUAUCAAGUUCUUUUAAGUAGUUAUACAGACAUGUUGCUAUUUCACAACUUCCUCUUUUACCAUCAGCUUCACCCCAUAUGUAACAGUAUCCGUUCUGCGUUCCACUCUCAUAUACUGUAAAAUUGAACACAGCGUACUUUCUGGAAUAAUACAACUGCAUACUUUCACCAUACGGUGUCGCUAAAACUUUUUGAAGAUCGAAACUAGAUACAACAAACGUGCUAUCGCGUUUUUGAUUUUGAUGAAUAUGAAAGCGUUUAUAUGUGGCUUCUUUUUCCAAUAAAUGAGCUUGUAACUUUUCAUUAGUCGUCAUAUCCGGAUUAUUUUCGUUUUUAGUACAUAAGAGACAUUUGUCUUUCUUAGGAACAUGAAAUGCAUAGUUAUACUCUUUAAACAUACAUGUAAAUAAUUUUUCGCUCAAAUAGUUUUCGGACCUUUCUUUACAAUAUUUAAUGUACAACCUGUACAAGUUUGAAAAAUUCUUAAAUUGCUCUGGCAGGUACAAUUUGGUAGAUUUUUUUCUAUUGUAGUGAGAAGGUAAAGCUGGUAAUGCUUCUAUGAAUUUCUUUGCAUUAAGUUUUGUGUUCUCGUCAUAUUUAUUUGGUGCUGUACGUGUUCGACUAUCAUCACAAGACAGUCCUUCUUUUGUAUGGUUUAAUGUAUACAAAACGUAAGUUUGGCUUAUAUCGAGAGUCUUCAGUAUAAAUUGUUGGCAAACCUGCCUCCGCCCUUCGUCUUCGUUUAUAAAGUACUCAUAUGUUAACGAACGUCUGCUAACUGCGUUUUUAGUCUUCUGACGUUUUACACUGACUGGUCUAGAACAUUGCACAAUCCAAUCCCGUUUCUUAUCGUCAUAAGGUGCCCAAAAAUAAUCAAAUAUAGAUUUCCUUCUUUCUUUUGUAAUUUCGUAACAUUUCCUGCUACAUUUACUCUCUUUACAAGGAUUUUCUUGUAACUUUCGGGCUUCUUUUACAUUACCAGAUAUUGUCUCGUAGGAUAAACCUUUUUCUUUAAGCUGUUUUCGUGACUUACGUUUAUUUUCAGGUUUUUUUUUCUUCUUAGGUAUGAUUUCUAUUUGGUUUGUUUUUGUAUUACUUUUUUUUGGCUUGGUUUUCUUUCUUUUUCUAUUUUUCUCGUGAUCUUCUGAACCAUCUGAAGUUUCUUCUUUGUCUGACCAAAGAUUAGCCUUCCCGAAGAAAAGUCGUUAUCUUUGCUAUCCGUUAGAAAAUCCAUGCAAGAUUUCAUGAAUUUUGAUAUUACGCGACGUUUUUUGUUUGAAUUAACUUCAGUUACGACUUCCUUAAAUGGUACGUUGUUAUCGAUUUCGCUUGAUAUCAAAUCAUUACAAGAAGUAUUAAAAUUUGUGCCCAAAACAUCAUCAUGAUGUAGGCCUUCAGCCAUCAUAGUGUCUUUGACAUUUGUAAGUACUGUAGGAGUUAAGAAAGUUUCAUGACUUCCAUUUUCCUCUCGCGAUGAUGUUUCGAGAAACAUUGUGCAAACAGCGGUGUUAUCUAUUGUCUCUGUUGGCUUAUGCACGACGUCUAUGUAAUUAUUAGAAAAUGUCAGUGGCUGUAUAUUAUCCUUCGCCUGUAUCAUUUAACUCACGUGAUGAAUGUGCGAUCACGAAGGCAUCACAAUUAGAUGCAUCAGUUUCUGUUUCAACGUUUAGAGGUGCUUCAAUCUGGUCAUUCAUGUCAUCGGAUAAUACGUUUAAAGGAUUUUCAACAACUUGACUACUGUUUAUAGUAGUACUCGUUGAACUUUCAUUAGGUUUAUUAAAAAAAGAAUGUGAUCGAGACAAGGAAAUAGUUGAUGUGUUUAUGAUUUCCAUGUCAUUUUCAACAGAACACACGGAGUUAUUACUGCUAUUAACAAUAAUGUUAGGUCUAUUUGAACUUCUUGUUAUUAACUGUGUUUCUGAGUCUACAUCACUAUUUUCUAUAAAACUUUCUGAAGAAUCUCUUUUGUUUUCAGUAGACCUAAAAAGAAAACAUGAAUAUGAUUACUAUAAUAUUAGAUUGAAGGCAUAGGGCAGACAUAUUGUAUGGGUCAACUCGGGUAGAAAUUCGACAACACUUUAACGUAAAGGACAUAACAACUUUAGACUCACAUUGUUUAUAAUUAUUAUUCUUAAAAAUCUUUAAAAAUUAUUUAAUUAUCACAAGAGUAAUGAAUUUGUAAAAUUUUAUUAAUUUCUAUUAACACUAUUAAUUAGAACGACUAAAAUAAGCUAAUUUUAAUGAACACUUAAAUUAACGUAAAGUAAAACAAAAUAAUGAAUGUCCCUUACAUUAAUUUGUUGUAUACUUUAAUAAUACUAAAUGAAUGGUGUAGACAAAACCUAGGUAUUAUACACAAUGUUUUAAACAUGCAAUAGUGCAUAAAUCACUAUUGCGUAGGAAGAAUUGCAUGCAAAUACGAAAGUACCUGCAAUUCAAGCAUACUUACAAGAAUAAAACCCGGGAUUUCAGUAUAGCAGUCGUACAUUAUCUACAUAAUUAAUCUUAAUUAAGAUUGUAUUUAUUUUAUACGUAUAUAGGUACUAAGGUGCAAUGAGCAGGACGUUCGCCUAAUGAUAAGCGUCACACCUGCCCAUAACAAAAAUGCAGUGCCAUUCAUAGCUUU